rnacentral:rRNA from 1 species
GACAGAGGAUGCAAACGUUGCUCGGAAUUACUGGGCGUAAAGCGCGCGCAGGCGGUUUCGUAAGUCGGGUGUGAAAGCCCCGGGCUUAACCCGGGAAGUGCAUUCGAUACUGCGGGACUAGAGUACUGGAGAGGAGAGCGGAAUUCCCGGUGUAGAGGUGAAAUUCGUAGAUAUCGGGAGGAACACCAGUGGCGAAGGCGGCUCUCUGGACAGAUACUGACGCUGAGGCGCGAAAGCGUGGGAAGCAAACAGG